UACGUAGGGGGCAAGCGUUGUCCGGAAUCAUUGGGCGUAAAGCGCGUGUAGGCGGCUCGAUAAGUCUGCUGUGAAAGUCCAGGCUCAACCCUGGGAUGCCGGUGGAUACUGUCGAGCUCGAGUCCGGAAGAGGAGAGUGGAAUUCCGUGGUGUAGCGGUGAAAUGCGCAGAUAUCAGGAGGAACACCGGUGGCGAAGGCGGGUCUCUGGGCCGUAACUGGACGCUGAGGAGCGAAAGCUGGGGAGCGAACAGG
rnacentral:rRNA from 1 species